GUAGCGGUGAAAUGCGUAGAGAUCUGGAGGAAUACCGGUGGCGAAGGCGGCCCCCUGGACAAAGACUGACGCUCAGGUGCGAAAGCGUGGGGAGCAAACAGGAUUAGAUACCAUGGUAGUCCACGCCGUAAACGAUGUCGAUUUGGAGGUUGUGCCCUUGAGGCGUGGCUUCCGGAGCUAACGCGUUAAAUCGACCGCCUGGGGAGUACGGCCGCAAGGUUAAAACUCAAAUGAAUUGACGGGGGCCUGCACAAGCGGUGGAGCAUGUGGUUUAAUUCGAUGCAACGCGAAGAACCUUACCUGGUCUUGACAUCCACAGAACUUUCCAGAGAUGGAUUGGUGCCUUCGGGAACUGUGAGACAGGUGCUGCAUGGCUGUCGUCAGCUCGUGUUGUGAAAUGUUGGGUUAAGUCCCGCAACGAGCGCAACCCUUAUCCUUUGUUGCCAGCGGUUAGGCCGGGAACUCAAAGGAGACUGCCAGUGAUAAACUGGAGGAAGGUGGGGAUGACGUCAAGUCAUCAUGGCCUUUACGACCAGGGCUAUCACACGUGCUACAAUGGCAUAUACAAAGAGAAGCGACCUCGCGAGAGCAAGCGGACCUCAUAAAGUAUGUUGUAGUCCGGAUUGGAGUCUGCAACUCGACUCCAUGAAGUCGGAAUCGCUAGUAAUAGUAGAUCAGAAUGAUACGGUGAAUACGUUCCCGGGCCUUGUACACACCGCCCGUCACACCAUGGGAGUGGGUUGCAAAAGAAGUAGGUAGAUUAACCUUCGGGAGGGCGCUUACCACUU
rnacentral:rRNA from 1 species